GACGAGGUUGCCCAGUGGUUAAGGCGAUGGACUGCUAAUCUAUUCUGCAUUGCACGCGUGGGUUCACAUCCCAUCCUCGUCC
rnacentral:tRNA from 2 species